rnacentral:lncRNA from 1 species
CCUGGCAAGCCUGCGGGACAUCCAGACAUCCUGAGAGUGCAGGCCACUGUAAUCAGAGCCUCACAUCCUCCAUCCGUGAGAGGGAGGGUCGGCGACGGAGAUGCCAACAUUUUCCUCUAGACGUCUCCUCUUAGGAAGCAAAACGAGCCUAUUCUCACCAAAGUGUCAGGGGCUGUGUCCGUCAUCAGCACGGCCUUCCUGCCUUUCGUUUUGCGUCUUCUUUCCUCUGGGCAGCAUGGGGAGUGGAUUCCAUGGCUUCACAUUUUUUCCCUUUUCUUUGCAAUGAAUGAAGACAAAACAGAUCCAUAGUCACAAAGGUGUGGCCUGGCCAGCCCUGAGCAUCUGAAGUUUGAGAUCAUCAUUCUAGGGGGUUCUGGGGCUCAGGCCUGGGCCAGGAGCCAGGCCCUCCCUGCAGGGUGUCCUGCCACAGCUCACAGUGCACACAUGCACCUGCCACACGCCGGACAUACAGAAGGGAUGAAGGAAGUGCUGGGGGUCCCACCAACGAUGCUGAGUACACAAGACUGUGGUUUCAUCUUAUUGCUGUCACAACCCCAGACCCUAGAGCAGGACACAGCACACAUGUGCCCCAUAAAUAUCGCGGUGUGAAUGAAUAAGUGACGGGAAAGCACGGACGGGCAGUUUUAAAGAAUGGGGAACUGUGGGCUGUGACGCGCAGGACGCCUGCCGCCCCAGGGCUCACGGUCUCGGCAGGGGUGUCGUUAUGGUAGCCCCUACAUCGAGUGAGGACUUCUAUGAUAAUGACCAUUGUCAGUCACAGGAAAGAAACCGAGGCACAAUUAACAGA